AUGCCUAGCGACAAGGCGCCUGGGCCAGAUGGCUUCACCGGCCUCUUCUUCAAAAAGUGUUGGGACAUCAUCAAGCACGACCUCAUGAGGGUGAUUCAACGCUUUGACUCCCUCCACACAACAAACCUACACUGGCUCAACUCUGCAAAUAUUGUGUUGCUUCCCAAGAAGGAUGGGGCGGAGAGCAUCGUCGACUUUCGGCCCAUUAGCCUCAUCCAUGCAAUCGCCAAGAUCAUCGCGAAGGUGCUCGCUAUCCGGCUUGGCCCGCACAUGUCCGCCCUCGUCUCCAACGCUCAAAGUGCGUUCAUCAAAACGCGGAGCAUCCACGACAACUUCAUGUAUGUUAGAAACCUUGCGCGACGCUUGCACAAGAGCAAGACUCCAUCUCUCCUUUUCAAGCUGGACAUCCGCAAGGCAUUUGACUCUGUCAAAUGGGAGUACUUGCUUGACCUCCUACGGAGGCGAGGUUUCCCAAGCAAAUUUCGAGAGUGGAUUGCGGCUCUGCUAUGCUCCUCAUCUUCGAGGAUCCUCUUGAAUGGGGUAGCUGGUACCCCCAUCAAGCAUGGCCAGGGACUACGGCAAGGGGACCCAGUCUCUCCCCUCCUUUUUGUGAUAGCUAUUGACCCAUUG
rnacentral:rRNA from 1 species